UACAGAGGGGGCGAGCGUUGUUCGGAAUUACUGGGCGUAAAGCGCACGUAGGCGGCUAUUCAAGUCAGAGGUGAAAGCCCGGGGCUCAACCCCGGAACUGCCUUUGAAACUAGGUAGCUAGAAUCUUGGAGAGGUCAGUGGAAUUCCGAGUGUAGAGGUGAAAUUCGUAGAUAUUCGGAGGAACACCAGUGGCGAAGGCGACUGACUGGACAAGUAUUGACGCUGAGGUGCGAAAGCGUGGGGAGCAAACAGG
rnacentral:rRNA from 1 species